rnacentral:rRNA from 1 species
AUUGAACGCUGGCGGCAGGCUUAACACAUGCAAGUCGAGCGAGCGGCGGACGGGUGAGGACUGUCUGGGAAACUGCCUGAUGGAGGGGGAUAACUACUGGAAACGGUAGAUAAUACCGCAUAACAUCAGAUGUGCCCAGAGGGGAUUAGCUAGUAGGUGGGGUAAUGGCUAACCUAGGCGACAAUCCCUAGCUGGUCUAAGAGGAUGACGAGCCACACUGGAACUGAGACACGGUCCAGACUCCUACGGGAGGCAGCAGUGGGGAAUAUUGCACAAUGGGCGCAAUCCUGAUGCAUCCAUGCCGCGUGUGUGAAGAAGGCCUUCGGGUGGUAAAGCACUUUCAGCGAGGAGGCGUUACUCGCAGAAGAAGCACCGGCUAACUCCGUGCCAGCAGCCGCGGUAAUAC